rnacentral:rRNA from 1 species
CCUACGGGAGGCAGCAGUGAGGAAUAUUGGUCAAUGGGCGCGAGCCUGAACCAGCCAAGUCGCGUGAGGGAAGACGGUCCUAUGGAUUGUAAACCUCUUUUGUCGGGGAGCAAAAGACGCCACGCGUGGCGUUCCGAGAGUACCCGAAGAAAAAGCAUCGGCUAACUCCGUGCCAGCGGCCGCGGUAAUACGGAGGAUGCGAGCGUUAUCCGGAUUUAUUGGGUUUAAAGGGUGCGCAGGGGGAAGAUCAGGUCAGCGGUAAAAUUGAGAGGCUCAACCUCUUCGAGCCGUUGAAACUGGUAUUCUUGAGUGAGUGAGAGGUAUGCGGAAUGCGUGGUGUAGCGGUGAAAUGCAUAGAUAUCACGCAGAACACUGAUUGCGAAGGCAGCAUACCGGCGCUCAACUGACGCUCAUGCGCGAAAGUGUGGGGAGCGAACAGGAUUAGAUACCCCUGUAGUC